rnacentral:lncRNA from 1 species
UUUGGUUCUUCUACUUUUUAUUUACUUACAUAUUUUUGAAAAUUCUUGAUUUUUUCAUUUUCCCCCCAAAAAAGUUUCAUACAUGUCGAUUCGUUUCUCAAGUGAUUCAUUAGAAUUAGUUCUGCUCAGAUCUCUCUGCAUCAAACAGAGUAUUCUUCAUUAUUGAAUUUGGGUAAGCUUCACUCUCUUACUGUAGACUUUAUUUUUUUGAACAUUUAUACUCAUUUACAAACGCGAGUCUUUUAUUAUUUUUAGGAACACAAUUUGGCGAAAACACAAUACUAUAUAUCCAAAAAAAUUACCUAAAAAAGUAUUCGGAAAAAAAGUAGAUUUAUAGUCUAGGCCACAAAGUUAGUUGAGGUGUGAGAUAUAAAUUUAAAGAUUGUGCAAAUGUUGGAUAGGUACAGCAAUUUCAUUGUUAUGAAAAUGGACUGGCCCAGUCUCAUGCAAAUUAAUGAUUAGAACCAUUUAUAUGGAGUUUUGAUUUCUACGCUUUUUUUUUUUUUUACAUUCUGUACUUCAAAAUUUGUCUUUAGUAAGUAAAAUUAUAAAAAUAUCCUUCUCUUUUAUAUUGACUUUUAAGGGUAUUUUUGUAAUUUU